rnacentral:rRNA from 1 species
AGCUCCAAUAGCGUAUAUUAAAAUUGUUGCGGUUAAAAAGCUCGUAGUUGGAUUUCUGCCGAGGACGACCGGUCCGCCCUCUGGGCGUGCAUCUGGAUCGGCCUGGGCAUCCUCUUGGGGAACGUAGCUGCACUUGACUGUGUGGUGCGGUAUCCAGGACUUUCACUUCGAGGAAAUUAGAGUGUUUCAAGCAGGCAAUUGCCUCGAAUACAUUAGCAUGGAAUAAGAAGAUAGGACCUCGGUUCUAUUUUGUUGGUUUCUAGAGCUGAGGUAAUGAUUAAUAGGGAUAGUUGGGGGCAUUCGUAUUUACUGUCAGAGGUGAAAUUCUUGGAUUUGUUAAAGACGGACUACUGCGACAGCAUUUGCCAAGGAUGUUUUCA